rnacentral:rRNA from 1 species
UACGGAGGGUGCGAGCGUUGUCCGGAAUCACUGGGCGUAAAGGGCGCGUAGGCGGCCUGAUAAGUAGGGGGUGAAAUCCUGCGGCUUAACCGCAGGGCUGCCUUCUAAACUGUCGGGCUAGAGCACGGUAGAGGCAGAUGGAAUUCCCGGUGUAGCGGUGGAAUGCGUAGAGAUCGGGAAGAACAUCAGUGGCGAAGGCAGCUCGCUGG